GAUGAAGAACGCAGUGAAAUGCGAUAAUUAAUGUGAAUUGCAGAAUUCAGUGAAUCAUCGAGUCUUUGAACGCACAUUGCGCCCCCCGGUAUUCCGGCGGGCAUGCCUGUUCGAGCGUCAUUUCAACCCUCAAGCUCUGCUUGGUAUUGGGGGAUAGGCCCCGUUGGGGCCUCCCCAGAAAAUUAGCGACGGUGCUCCUGAGAGUCCCAGCGUAGUGACUUUUAAAUCUCGCUGUCAAGGACGUCAGUUUGCUUCUGUCGGAAAUUUUUUUUUUUUCAAUGGUUGACCUCGGAUCAGGUAGGGAUACCCGCUGAACUUAAGCAUAUCAAUAAGCGGAGGA
rnacentral:misc_RNA from 1 species